rnacentral:rRNA from 1 species
AUUGAACGCUGGCGGCAUGCGUAACACAUGCAAGUCGAACGGUUUCUGGUGCUUGCACCGGAGAUAGUGGCGGACGGGUGAGUAAUACGUAGGAAUCUGUCUUAGAGAGGGGGACAACCUGAGGAAACUUAGGCUAAAACCGCAUAAACUCGGAAGAGAAAAGCAGGGGACCGGAAACGGCCUUGUGCUCUAAGGUGAGCCUACGUCGGAUUAGCUAGUUGGUGGUGUAAAGGCCUACCAAGGCGAUGGUCUGUAGCUGGUCUGAGAGGACGGGCAGCCACACUGGGACUGAGAAACGGCCCAGACUCCUACGGGAGGCAGCAGUGGGGAAUAUUGGACAAUGGGGGGAACCCUGAUCCAGCGAUGCCGCGUGUGUGAAGAAGGCCUGCGGGUUGUAAAGCACUUUCAGUUGGAAAGAGAAGCGAGAUGAGAAUAUUGUUUCGUGGAGACGUUACUAACAGAAGAAGCACCGGCUAACUCUGUGCCAGCCGCCGCAGUAA